UGCCUACAUGCCGAUAUUAGUUCGUUUCUUGAGUUCAAUGAGCUUAGUUCGGGAUAGUAAAUUAUAACGAACUUUUCGUGCAGGCAUAAUUUACAACGUUUUGUUUUGUUUUGUUUUGUUUUGUUUUGUUUUGUUUUGUUUUGUUUUGUUUUGUUUUGUUUUGUUUUGUUUUGUUUUGUUUUGUUUUGUUUUGUUUUGUUUUGUUUGAGUAGGCCUUACAUUUCUUUAAAAUUUUCCAACGAAUAGAGUAUAACGAGUAUUCUAUAUGUUGGACUGUUU